rnacentral:rRNA from 1 species
CGGACCCGAUGAAUACGCCACGGCUAACUACAUGCCAGCAGCCGCGGUAAUACGUAGGUGGCGGGCGUUGUCCGGAUUUAUUGGGUUUAAAGGGUGCGUAGGUGGUUUUAUAAGUCAAUGGUGAAAGCUGGUUGCUCAACAAUCAAGUUGCCAUUGAUACUGUUAGACUUGAGAGAAGUGGAGGUUCAUGGAAUGGAUGGUGUAGCGGUGAAAUGCAUAGAUAUCAUCCAGAACGUCGAUUGCGAAGGCAGUGGGCUGUACUUUUUCUGACACUGAGGCACGAAAGCGUGGGGAUCAAACAGGAUUAGAUACCCUGGUAGUCCACGCUGUAAACGAUGCGAACUAGCUUUCGGGUUUAAGAUUCGGGGGCUAAGGGAAACCGAUAAGAUCGCCACCUGGGGAGUACGCCGGCAACGGUGAAACUCAAAGGAAUUGACGGA